GCUCAGGAUGAACGCUAGCGGGAGGCCUAACACAUGCAAGCCGAGCGGUAGAGAUUCUUCGGAAUCUUGAGAGCGGCGUACGGGUGCGGAACACGUGUGCAACCUACCUUUAUCAGGGGGAUAGCCUUUCGAAAGGAAGAUUAAUACCCCAUAAUAUAUUUGAUGGCAUCAUUAGAUAUUGAAAACUCCGGUGGAUAGAGAUGGGCACGCGCAAGAUUAGAUAGUUGGUGAGGUAACGGCUCACCAAGUCCAUGAUCUUUAGGGGGCCUGAGAGGGUGAUCCCCCACACUGGUACUGAGACACGGACCAGACUCCUACGGGAGGCAGCAGUGAGGAAUAUUGGACAAUGGGUGAGAGCCUGAUCCAGCCAUCCCGCGUGAAGGACGACGGCCCUAUGGGUUGUAAACUUCUUUUGUAUAGGGAUAAACCUUUCCACGUGUGGAAAGCUGAAGGUACUAUACGAAUAAGCACCGGCUAACUCCGUGCCAGCAGCCGCGGUAAUACGGAGGGUGCAAGCGUUAUCCGGAUUUAUUGGGUUUAAAGGGUCCGUAGGCGGACUCGUAAGUCAGUGGUGAAAUCUCAUAGCUUAACUAUGAAACUGCCAUUGAUACUGCGGGUCUUGAGUAAGGUAGAGGUAGCUGGAAUAAGUAGUGUAGCGGUGAAAUGCAUAGAUAUUACUUAGAACACCAAUUGCGAAGGCAGGUUACCAUGUCUUAACUGACGCUGA
rnacentral:rRNA from 1 species